rnacentral:rRNA from 1 species
UAUAUUAAAAUUGUUGCAGUUAAAAAGCUCGUAGUUGAAUUUAUGUUAAAAAUAACCGAUCUGCUUUGAACAAAAGUAGUAUCAUGGUUUGUUUUUAGCAAUAAUGUUCUUUGAUAUGUUUUAUACUUUAUUGUAUAAAGCAAUAUUUAGAAUUUUUACUUUGAGAAAAUUAGAGUGUUUCAAGCAGGCUAACGUUUUGAAUACUGCAGCAUGGAAUAAUAAAAUAGAAUUUUGGUUCUAUAUUAUUGGUUUUAAGAACUAAAUUAAUGAUUGAUAGGGACAGUUGGGGGCAUUUGUAUUUAACUGUCAGAGGUGAAAUUCUUAGAUUUGUUAAAGACCAACUACUGCCGAAAGA